GACGAACGCUGGCGGCGUGCCUAAUACAUGCAAGUAGAACGCUGAAGGAGGAGCUUGCUUCUCCGGAUGAGUUGCGAACGGGUGAGUAACGCGUAGGUAACCUGCCUGGUAGCGGGGGAUAACUAUUGGAAACGAUAGCUAAUACCGCAUAAGAGUAGAUGUUGCAUGACAUUUGCUUAAAAGGUGCAAUUGCAUCACUACCAGAUGGACCUGCGUUGUAUUAGCUAGUUGGUGGGGUAACGGCUCACCAAGGCGACGAUACAUAGCCGACCUGAGAGGGUGAUCGGCCACACUGGGACUGAGACACGGCCCAGACGCCUACGGGAGGCAGCAGUAGGGAAUCUUCGGCAAUGGACGGAAGUCUGACCGAGCAACGCCGCGUGAGUGAAGAAGGUUUUCGGAUCGUAAAGCUCUGUUGUAAGAGAAGAACGAGUGUGAGAGUGGAAAGUUCACACUGUGACGGUAUCUUACCAGAAAGGGACGGCUAACUACGUG
rnacentral:rRNA from 1 species